rnacentral:tRNA from 2 species
UCAAUAGGUUUCACCUGACUCAUAAUCAGGGAGUCCUUGGUUCAAGCCCAAGUGGGACCA